rnacentral:sRNA from 1 species
GCCAGGCAUGGUGGCACAUACCUGUAAUUCCAGCCACUCAGGAGGCUGAGAUGGGAGGAUUGCUAGUUCAAAGCCAGCCUCAGCAACUUAGUGAGACCCUAUCUCUA